UCCCGCAGCAAACCCUGGGAAACCCGACCCGGAAGCGCGAAGCCGAGGGGACGCCAGGGGACGCGAGAGGUCGGCUCCGGGCAGACGGAAGGCGCCUGGCUCAGAAAAUGCCCCCGGCCGUCCGCCUCAGUUCCUGUUGCCAGGUCACCUCGUGGGCUUCGGUUCCUGUCACGGUUCCGGUCACUUCUGUUUCGUAGAAGCCUGGGUAAAACUAUAAACUACCUUAAGAUUCUGAAAGGAGACAAGGAUAGAGUUCAGAAUUCUCAGUCUACAGUAGAAGAUGCGAUUCAGGCUCAGCUGUGUCUGGAUCAUCUCUGCAUAGCAGAGGCCCUGGAACCUGGCAGAGGCUGCCCGUCAGUGUGCUGUGCACACGGAAGCCACACCAGCCCUCAGCACCAAGUCUGGCCGCCUCCUGCUCACACAGUGUCCUGGGACAAGGAAACAGGCCACACGCAUGGAUGCAGUCAUGCCCAAACCUCAGAGGACGACAAGUCUGCACGCCCCAGACAGCUAGGUCCCCGGUGCCCUGCAGCCGACCCCUGUCACUUGACUCCCCCUUCCAGGUCUGUACAACAUCACAGGGGUCUUCACAGAGCUGCCCCCAGGCUUCCGGCCCCCCUCUCAGGACUACACGGGGCACACUGGCCUGAGAUCAGGACAUGUGCACUGUUUCCAUUCCUUGGCUUUGGAAAUCAAAUUCAAGAAUACUCUUGACCUGUGCGCUUGAACAUGUGUUUCUGAGAUCAUGUGUGAUACUCUUCUCAGGACAGUUCCUCCGAGAGAAAUUCCUCCACGGAAAUGUAAACACAGUUACAUUGUUACCAUGCUUGGCAAAAGCUCCUUUAGUUUUUAUUUCAUCUUCCUUUGUAGCAGUUGAUUUCCCUACUCUCAGGCCCAGACACAUCCUUCACUUUCAUCCUUGACAAACUGAUGCAUUUUAAUUUUCAUUCCAACUCCAAUUUCAUGUUUGCAUUUGUGUUCACUUUUCUUACUAAUGCACUUGACAGCUGCAUUUCUUAUUUUCAAGGUUCUUGCUAAUAUUCAUUAUUUUCCAGCUGAGGUCUCUGUACUGAAAAAAACCCAGCAUCUGGUCAUCCUGGCUGACGUGGGUGAAGUUUUUCCUGUUCAGCUGUAGCUGCGUCUGCGGUUGCCCUGCACACAUGACGGGCGCCGGUCACCGAGCCUCCGUCACAGCCCCGCAGCCGUGUGGUGACGACAUCCUCAUCAGGGCAGGCACCUGAGUCCUCAGGUCUCCCUGAGAUCCCCAAAUUGAAGCUCCAGUCCUGAACUGUUUUUUCCCUUCUGCUGAACUAAGCCGGCCCCUGACUCUCCAAGGUCUCCGCAUCCUCUGCUGCUGAAGUGAGUGAGGAUAGCAAGUUGUUCCACUGUGGCGGGUCCUCCGGCCUCAGCUGAGCAGCACUGACACACGCUGCCUCACUGUCCUGGUAUUUUCCAUGUGAUUUUGAGUUUGGUCACGCUCAUGCAUUAGUAUAUUGUUUCUGACCUGGGUGAAUUUCACUGUUCUGUGUGGUUUUUCUCUUCUGGUCUUGCUGAGAGAACCUUUCUUUAACCCACACUUGUAAAUCUGAACAGAGAUCCUAACCUACAGUGGGGUGAUGAGAAGAGAAGAGUGCAAAGGAAGAGGAACAGAGGGGCGUCUCUGAGCCGUGGAGAAAUCAGAGGUAGAGCGGGAGGUGGAGGAGAGUUCUGUACCCGGCUGUUACUGAUUUCCGUUACUGUACCAAAAUACAUGAGGGGAGGACACUUAAUAAAGAAAACGGGUCCCUGUGUCUUACAGUUCUGAGGUUCAGUGCCAGAGGGCCUCAUCUGAGAUGUUCUCCCUGCCGGGCGUCCUGAGGGGUACAGAGCGCCACCUGCAGGGCGUCAGGCCCCACACUCAGGUCUGUGUUGUGG
ensembl:lincRNA